rnacentral:rRNA from 1 species
AGGGGCAUUGCCUUAGUACGGCGAGUGAGCGGCAAAAGCUCAAAUUUGAAAUCUGGUACCUUCGGUGCCCGAGUUGUAAUUUGGAGAGGGCAACUUUGGGGCCGUUCCUUGUCUAUGUUCCUUGGAACAGGACGUCAUAGAGGGUGAGAAUCCCGUGUGGCGAGGAGUGCGGUUCUUUGUAAAGUGCCUUCGAAGAGUCGAGUUGUUUGGGAAUGCAGCUCUAAGUGGGUGGUAAAUUCCAUCUAAAGCUAAAUAUUGGCGAGAGACCGAUAGCGAACAAGUACAGUGAUGGAAAGAUGAAAAGAACUUUGAAAAGAGAGUGAAAAAGUACGUGAAAUUGUUGAAAGGGAAGGGCAUUUGAUCAGACAUGGUGUUUUGUGCCCUCUGCUCCUUGUGGGUAGGGGAAUCUCGCAUUUCACUGGGCCAGCAUCAGUUUUGGUGGCAGGAUAAAUCCAUAGGAAUGUAGCUUGCCUCGGUAAGUAUUAUAGCCUGUGGGAAUACUGCCAGCUGGGACUGAGGACUGCGACGUAAGUCAAGGAUGCUGGCAUAAUGGUUAUAUGCCGCCCGUCUUGAACCACGGACCA